rnacentral:rRNA from 1 species
CCCUUAGACGUUCUGGGCCGCACGCGCGCUACACUGACGAAGGCAACGAGCUUUCCUUUACCGAAAGGUACGGGUAAUCUUUUGAAACUUCGUCGUGCUGGGGAUAGAUCCUUGCAAUUAUUGAUCUUAAACGAGGAAUUCCUAGUAAGCGCAAGUCAUCAACUUGCGUUGAUUACGUCCCUGCCCUUUGUACACACCGCCCGUCGCUACUACCGAUUGAAUGGUUUAGUGAGGCCUUCGGAUCCGCAACUCGUUUUGUGGAGAAGUUGGACAAACUCAGUCAUUUAGAGGAAGUAAAAGUCGUAACA